rnacentral:rRNA from 1 species
UACGUAGGGCGCAAGCGUUGUCCGGAAUUAUUUGGGCGUAAGAGCUCGUAGGCGGCCUGUCGCGUCUGCUGUGAAAUCCCGGGGCUCAACCCCGGGCCUGCAGUGGAUACGGGCUGGCUGGAGGCAGGCAGGGGAGAACGGAAGUUCCUGGUGGUAGCGGUGAAAUGACGCAGAUAUCAGGAGGAACACCGGUGGCGAAGGCGGUUCUCUGGGCCUGUUCUGACGCUGAGGAGCGAAAGCGUGGGGAGCGAACAGG